rnacentral:rRNA from 1 species
UGCAAGUCGAACGGAGCAUUAACGCUGACGAGUGGAGAGCUUGCUCAAAGCAAAUCUUGUUGAUGCUUAGUGGCGGACGGGUGAGUAACGCGUGGGUAACCUGCCAUAUACAGGGGGAUAACACUUAGAAAUAGGUGCUAAUACCGCAUAAGCCUACAGAAUCGCAUGAUUCAGUAAGAAAAACUCCGGUGGUAUAUGAUGGACCCGCGUCUGAUUAGCUAGUUGGUGAGGCAGAGGCUCACCAAGGCGACGAUCAGUAGCCGGCCUGAGAGGGUGAACGGCCACAUUGGGACUGAGACACGGCCCAAACUCCUACGGGAGGCAGCAGUGGGGAAUAUUGCACAAUGGGGGAAAUCCUGAUGCAAGCGACGCCGCGUGAGUGAUGAAGUAUUUCGGUAUGUAAAGCUCUAUCAGCAGGGAAGAAAAUGACGGUACCUGACUAAGAAGCCCCGGCUAACUACGUGCCAGCCGCCGC